CAUGUCGGUGGAAUUUUUGUGUCAAAUUAACUUAUGAUUUUGAUUUAAUGAAUUUCCCAUUGAGAUAAGAGGGAAAGAAAAUAAGUAUCUCUUUUUCGUGAAGACAUUCUAUAGUUCCAAGACAAUAGAAAAAUCGAACGAAAACGUGAGGUAUUUUAAUAUUCCAUGAGUAAUUUCUGUGAAUAUGGAGAUCUCUGUAAAACAGAGUCAGCAAAUGAACACAUUCACAAUAUUUUGCACGACACUUCUUAAUUUCGUGAUCGCGAAAUAAUAUGCCACGCGAAAAUAUAUCGAUUCGACGAGGUAAUUUCGAGGGAGGAUUAUAAAAUCGAAGCAGAAGAAUGUGAAAUUGAUGUAUAGGAUCAACUCAAAUCGUAUUUGUCCUGACUUUUAUCUCCGGACAUAUACAGAUAUGAUGUGAUAAUGUGGAUGAGACAUAUGGAUGAGGUGGAACUGAAUGAAGACUAUUUCAUCUUGCCCUUAUCGGCAAUUGAUCGAAUUUUAAUCGAUUUAAAUCGAGUUGUUCAUCAGAGCAAAAUAGAAACUCAAGAAUUGUUACUCAAAAAAAAAGACGAUUAUUCGCAACAUAUUGAAAAUCGACGGAAAAAAGUAUCAAAUGCGUAAAUGAAUGAAAAUCAAUGCAUGAAACG